rnacentral:rRNA from 1 species
GACGAACGCUGGCGGCGUGCCUAACACAUGUAAGUCGCACGGGACCGGGGGCAACUCCGGUUCAGUGGCAGACGGGUGCGUAACACGUGAGGAACCUGUCCGACGGCGGGGGAUAGCCGGCCCAACGGCCGGGUAAUACCGCAUACGAUCGUUUGGGGGCAUCCCCGAGCGAUGAAAGCAGCCGCAAGGUUGCGCCGAUGGAGGGUCUCGCGGCCUAUCAGCUAGUUGGCGGGGUAACGGCCCACCAAGGCGACGACGGGUAGCUGGUCUGAGAGGAUGGCCAGCCACAUUGGGACUGAGACACGGCCCAGACUCCUACGGGAGGCAGCAGUGGGGAAUCUUGCGCAAUGGCCGCAAGGCUGACGCAGCGACGCCGCGUGUGGAUGACGGCCU